GACGAACGCUGGCGGCGUGCUUAACACAUGCAAGUCGAGCGGUAAGGCCCUUUCGGGGGUACACGAGCGGCGAACGGGUGAGUAACACGUGGGUGACCUGCCCUCAGCUCUGGGAUAAGCCUGGGAAACCGGGUCUAAUACUGGAUAUGACUCCAUGACGCAUGUUGUGGGGUGGAAAGCCUUGUGCGGCUGAGGAUGGGCCCGCGGCCUAUCAGCUUGUUGGUGGGGGUGAGGCCUACCAAGGCGACGACGGGUAGCCGGCCUGAGAGGGCGACCGGCCACACUGGGACUGAGACACGGCCCAGACUCCUACGGGAGGCAGCAGUGGGGAAUCUUGCGCAAUGGGCGAAAGCCUGACGCAGCGACGCCGCGUGAGGGAUGACGGCCU
rnacentral:rRNA from 1 species